AAAGAAACAAAGUAAUAGCCUUUGAGCCACAGCAGUUAGCUAGAGGCUGAGGUCGUUCCCUUGUGAAAUGUUCAGCCCAUUACUCUUACCCUACAGCUUACAACCAUGUUGACCAUUGAGGUAAAAGGAACUGCGUGGAUGUUGAUUUCUUUGCCAAGCCCUGAAUGAUUAAAGCUCUGCAUAAGUUAGUCAUAAUUCUUAGACAGGCCUAUUGGUGUGAAUUAAGAGAAGAGGGCCAAAAAUAUCACUUACUUUAGACACCAUUUGCUUAUACUUAAUUAAAAAAUAAAUACAAAUUAUAAUAGUUAAUUUAGAUUUUUCUUAAAAAAGAAACAUUCCCUAAACAGCUCCAAAGAGGAAAUACUUAAGUAUAUAUCUUUCUAUAUCAAGUCUUGUUUCUUCUUCUCUAAUUCUCACCAAAAUUCCCUCCUUGUCCCUAAGGAUUGAGUUGAUAAUGCCUGAAGUAGAGAGAAAAAUGAUUUUUAUUUCAUGAUGUACUGCUUCCAGCUAGUCACUCCCUGAGUUUGCUACAGUCAAAGAUUUGUGCAAGUUAGCUCUAACUUUUGCUGACUUCUUUUUUUCUCCUGUAUGCAUUUUAUCUGAUGGGAAAUACAUGAAGGAAUUGGAUUCACUUUCAAUGUGUACAUGCAACAGGUUUAAGCAGAGCUUGCCAGUGGCAAGCUGCUCUCAUUUCCCAGUGUAUUUCUGGCAUCAAGUUCUUGUUUUGAAGUAUUUAAAAAUCUUAUGAAAUAUAUGAAAUUUCACUUAGUACUUAUAAAAAACCUCAGAGAAGGUUUUUUGUGUUUGUUUUUUCUUUUAUCUUCCCACUAUCUCUGAUUUUUUUUUCUAGUGCUGCCUAAGGCUCUAGUAGAAUUUUUUAAGUGAACUAAACAUAAGAUUGGGUUUCACUGACUUCUAGUACCAUCAGUAAUUCAGCAGACAUUUAUUUAGCACCAACUAGGUGUCAUGGACUUUAUUAGAAUCUGCAAAAGCAAGAUAACCAAAAGAGGGUGUCUCCUGUCCAAGCAAAGCCUAGAGUCAGUAGAGAAGAUGAGCUCAGUGUAUUGUACCUUACAAAAGCAUUCUGAAAGAAGGAAGCAUGUAGGCUACGAAAGGAUAAAAGAAGGUUCUUUAAAUCAGACUGGGACAGAGGUGGAGCAGGGAGAAGGUUGAGUCCUAAAGAAUGAAAUAGGAGUAUUCACUGACCUCCCUGAAGUCACCAAGGACUCCAGUCGAGAAUUCCUUCCUGAAUGGAGAAGAGAAAAUAAUGGUCUUAAUCAACACUGCUCCAGAAUCUUUUACUCAGAAUCAGGACCUCUGCUGUCUUCUUUGUUCCCUCACCCCCCUCACUAUGACAUACCUAAAGAGAAGUAGUGACAAAGAGACAUUCAUUCCAUGAAAUAAACUGAAGUCAGAGCUAAGAAAAAAAACACAAAAUUUAUCCAACGAAAAGGCAGGCUCUUUUAAACAGGCUAGGAACAGUGUCAAAAAGGUAAUUUUUUAUGUCCAAUUUUUACUCUCAUAACUUGUGCUAUAAGUCUUCUGGUAAACCUGCAUCUGUUAGGUUUAUAUACAUGAUAGAGCAAGUUUCAGACCUCAAGAUUAUAUCAAAUAUACUUGGCGUAUAGAACUGUACAUCAGCUGACUCCACACACAAACUUAA